rnacentral:rRNA from 1 species
UACAGAGGUCUCAAGCGUUGUUCGGAUUCAUUGGGCGUAAAGGGUGCGUAGGUGGCGGGGUAAGUCAGGUGUGAAAUCUCGAGGCUCAACCUCGAAACUGCACUUGAUACUGCCUUGCUCGAGUACUGGAGAGGAGAUUGGAAUUUACGGUGUAGCAGUGAAAUGCGUAGAUAUCGUAAGGAAGACCAGUGGCGAAGGCGAAUCUCUGGACAGUUACUGACACUGAGGCACGAGGGCCAGGGGAGCAAACGGG